GACCGCGUAGCUCAGUUGGCAGAGCAUUGGACUAGUAUUCCAAAGGUUGAAGGGUUCGAUUCCCACCGUGGCCA